ACCAGACUCCUACGGGAGGCAGCAGUGGGGCCUCUUGCACAAUGGGGUGCCCCCUGAUUCCGCGCCGCCGCGUGGGUGCAGGAGUCCUUCGGUACGUAAAUCCCUCUCAGCAGGCCCGCCCAUGACGGUCCCUGCCUAAGAAGCCCCGGCUAACUACGUGCCCGCAGCCGCGGUCCUACGUAGGGGGCACGCGUUAUCCGGCUUUACUGGGUGUCAAGGGAGCGGAGACGGCAGUGCAAGUCCGGAGUGAAAGCCCGGGGCUCAACCCUGGGACUGCUCUGGAAACUGUAAAGCUGGAGUGCGGGAGGGGCAGGCGGAAGUCCUGGUGGAGCGGUGAAAUGCGGAGAGAUCAGGAGGAACACCGGCGGCGAAGGAGGCCUGCUGGACCGGAACUGACGGGGAGGCUCGAAAGCGGGGGGAGCAAACAGGAGGAGAUACCCCCGUAGC
rnacentral:rRNA from 1 species